GCACUUUCAGUAGGGAGGAAGGUAGUGUAGUUAACACCUGCACUAUUUGACGUUACCUACAGAAGAAGCACCGGCUAACUCCGUGCCAGCAGCCGCGGUAAUACGGAGGGUGCGAGCGUUAAUCGGAAUUACUGGGCGUAAAGCGCAUGCAGGCGGCCUGUUAAGUCAGAUGUGAAAGCCCGGGGCUUAACCUCGGAAUUGCAUUUGAAACUGGCAGGCUAGAGUCUUGUAGAGGGGGGUAGGAAUUUCAGGUGUAGCGGUGAAAUGCGUAGAGAUCUGAAGGAAUACCAGUGGCGAAGGCGGCCCCCUGGACAAAGACUGACGCUCAGAUGCGAAAGCGUGGGGAGCAAACAGGAUUAGAUACCCUGGUAG
rnacentral:rRNA from 1 species